UUGAUCCUGGCUCAGAUUGAACGCUGGCGGAAUGCUUUACACAUGCAAGUCGAACGGCAGCACGGACUUCGGUCUGGUGGCGAGUGGCGAACGGGUGAGUAAUAUAUCGGAACGUGCCCAGUCGUGGGGGAUAACGUAGUGAAAAUUACGCUAAUACCGCAUACGAUCUAUGGAUGAAAGCGGGGGACUCGCAAGAGCCUCGCGCGAUUGGAGCGGCCGAUAUCAGAUUAGGUAGUUGGUGAGGUAAAGGCUCACCAAGCCCGCGAUCUGUAGCUGGUCUGAGAGGACGACCAGCCACACUGGAACUGAGACACGGUCCAGACUCCUACGGGAGGCAGCAGUGGGGAAUUUUGGACAAUGGACGAAAGUCUGAUCCAGCCAUUCCGCGUGCAGGAUGAAGGCCCUCGGGUUGUAAACUGCUUUUGUACGGAACGAAAAGGUCUCUCCUAAUACGAGAGGCUCAUGACGGUACCGUAAGAAUAAGCACCGGCUAACUACGUGCCAGCAGCCGCGGUAAUACGUAGGGUGCAAGCGUUAAUCGGAAUUACUGGGCGUAAAGCGUGCGCAGGCGGUUAUAUAAGACAGAUGUGAAAUCCCCGGGCUCAACCUGGGAACUGCAUUUGUGACUGUAUAGCUAGAGUACGGUAGAGGGGGAUGGAAUUCCGCGUGUAGCAGUGAAAUGCGUAGAUAUGCGGAGGAACACCGAUGGCGAAGGCAAUCCCCUGGACCUGUACUGACGCUCAUGCACGAAAGCGUGGGGAGCAAACAGGAUUAGAUACCCUGGUAGUCCACGCCCUAAACGAUGUCAACUGGUUGUUGGGUCUUAACUGACUCAGUAACGAAGCUAACGCGUGAAGUUGACCGCCUGGGGAGUACGGCCCGCAGGUUGAAACUCNAAGGAUUUGACGGG
rnacentral:rRNA from 1 species